rfam:Eubacterium cellulosolvens 6 chromosome, whole genome shotgun sequence.
AAUAGUGUAUGGCAAAACAGACGAAAGUCUGCGACGCAAAGCUAAAGGGACUGUAAAAUGUCAGCCAGCUGCAAUA